UACGGGGGGGGGCAAGCGUUGUUCGGAUUUACUGGGCGUAAAGCGCACGUAGGCGGAUCGAUCAGUCAGGGGUGAAAUCCUGGAGCUCAACUCCAGAACUGCCUUUGAUACUGGAGAGCUUGAGUCCGGAAGAGGUGAGUGGAACUCCGAGUGUAGAGGUGAAAUUCGUAGAUAUUCGGAAGAACACCAGUGGCGAAGGCGGCUCACUGGUCCGGUACUGGACGCUGAUGUGCGAAAGCGUGGGGAGCAAACAGG
rnacentral:rRNA from 1 species